AAAAUUUUAAUAGGCAAAAUACCAUUAUACCCCUAACUAAUUAAACCUAAAACUAUUCUUUUCUUCCCCAAGAUUUCUUCAAAUCUCAGAUCCAAAAUGAACGAUACCAGUAAUCAAAUCCGACGAAUCAGACGAUGUUGACGAGUUCUCCGGCGCUGAGGAGUUCUCCGGCAAAAUUUCUGACUAGUUGUACAGCGAGAUCCGACGAUGCUGAUGAGCUCAAACGAACAAGACGAGUUCUCGGCGAGAUUUACGAACACUGAAGAGUUUCCGACGAGAUCUGACGACGAGUUUUCCGGCGAGAUCUAACGAUAACGAGUUCUCCGAAAAGCUGACAGACUCUACAAGCUUAGACGAACGAGACGAUCUCUUUCCCUACGUCUAAGAAACGCUAACAAAGGGAAUUACAAAGGUGUGCUGUGAGCUUUUGGAUUUAUAGGAUGCUGUGGAGAAUAUGUAUGGUGAUAUGCAUAUCAAGUACCUCACUUUCUUGAGAUUUUGAAGAUCGACGAGGUUGGUGAGCUGUUUGAAGAAGCAAGAGGGACUCUGAACAAGAACGUGACAUCUCUUAAUUAGGAUGCUGUCGCGUCCAAGGGCUCAGACAGUACUUGUAGAUGGAGCUCUUAGGGAGGGCGAACUGCUGAUUCCACUUCCUUCACUUGAGAUCUUGGUGCUUCUCACAUUCUGUUCUCCAUCCACAGGAGUUAAGGUAAGUAGUAGUAUUUAUAAAACUAAACCAUGAAAUGAGCUUGUUUGAUUAUGAUCACAAGCAUGGUCGCUGUACAGUCUACAGAGAGGGUUGAAGCAGUAUAUCCCUUGCUGAAGGACGUGGCUCUUUCACCAGAUAUGUCUUUUUGUGUUGAUUAUCUUUUUGAGGGACUUUAGAAAAAUUAACCUGUAAGCCAUUAUAAAUCAGUUUAUAAACGUUUAUAAAUCAUUUUUGAGUUCUUUAUACUUAUUCUGCCUAGCAUUCCUCACAAGACUUCUCAAGUUCACACAUUUAUAUGUUUUUAUAGACAUAUCCGAUCAACUCUUGUUUAAAAACUUCUUUAUAAAGACUUAUAAAUCGUCAAGUUGUACUUUUAACAAUAUCUUGAAAUCCAGAUUUAUAAAGAAUUAUAAUUCUGUAAAAAUGCAGUGUUCACUAACCGAAAAUAUUAAUCUUAACCAUAAUUAUUCAAAUAACAAGUCCAACUAAGCCUUAUUUGCUUUUUGGAUAACAGAAGGAAGCAAAUCCUAAAAUUACUUGAAAUCUUAUUUAAAAUUUUUUUAUAAAGACUUAUAAAUCGUCGAGUAGUACUUUUGAUAAUUUCCUGAAAUCCAGAUUUAUAUUUUAUAAACGUCUAAAAAAUUGGAACAAAUUUAAGUUUUAGUAAAUAACUGCAUGAUUAGUGUUGUAGAGAGAAACUCAAACACAUUCUAAGACUGAAUUGAACAACAUUAAAGAGUUGACGAAGUCGGUUGUUUAGAACAUAUUCAUAUAAAUUGUUUUUAUAAAUAUUUUAUAAACUCUUAUAAAUUAUUUACAUACCUUUAUAAAUCCUAGAAAAUUAUUUUAUUAACUCUUAUAACUUGUUUAAUAAGCUUUUUCAAAUGGUUAUAGACUCUUAUAAUUGAUUUAAGAUCUCUAAUUGAUUUCAAAACCUGUAUAUACCUCUAUAAACCUUAUAAAUUAUAUACAUACCCCUUAUAAAUGAUUUAUAAACUUUUAUAAUUUUUGUAAUAAACAUUUAUAAAUAGUUUAUAUACUUUAUAAAUUGUUUUAUAAGCCUUUAUAGAUGGUUUAUAGACUCUUACAAAUAAUUUGUAAACCUUUAUAAAAGGUUUAUAAUAUUUAUAAAUUGUUUUUAAUAAAAUUUUAUAAAUGAUUUAUAAACUCUUAUUAAUUAUUUAUAUAUCCUUAUAAAGAUUAUUUUACAAGUCUUUAUAAAUUGUUAUAGCCUUUUAUAAAUAAUUUCAGAGACUUUCUAAGUGAUUCAAAAACCAAUAAACCUUAUAAAUUGUAUGCAUAUCCCUUAUAAAUUGUUUAUAAACUUUCAUAACAUUUUUAUAAACAAUUAUAAAUGGUUUAUAGAUUUUAUUAAUAGUUUUAUAAACCUUUAUAAAA